GGAUCUAGAGAGCGGCGUACGGGUGCGGAACACGUGUGCAACCUGCCUUUAUCAGGGGGAUAGCCUUUCGAAAGGAAGAUUAAUACCCCAUAAUAUUUUUGAUGGCAUCAUUAGAAAUUGAAAACUCCGGUGGAUAGAGAUGGGCACGCGCAAGAUUAGAUAGUUGGUGAGGUAACGGCUCACCAAGUCUGCGAUCUUUAGGGGGCCUGAGAGGGUGAUCCCCCACACUGGUACUGAGACACGGACCAGACUCCUACGGGAGGCAGCAGUGAGGAAUAUUGGACAAUGGGUGCGAGCCUGAUCCAGCCAUCCCGCGUGAAGGACGACGGCCCUAUGGGUUGUAAACUUCUUUUGUAUAGGGAUAAACCUAGAUACGUGUAUCUAGCUGAAGGUACUAUACGAAUAAGCACCGGCUAACUCCGUGCCAGCAGCCGCGGUAAUACGGNAGGGUGCAAGCGUUAUCCGGAUUUAUUGGGUUUAAAGGGUCCGUAGNGCGGAUCUGUAAGUCAGUGGUGAAAUCUCACAGCUUAACUGUGAAACUGCCAUUGAUACUGCAGGUCUUGAGUGUUAUUGAAGUAGCUGGAAUAAGUAGUGUAGCGGUGAAAUGCAUAGAUAUUACUUAGAACACCAAUUGCGAAGGCANGGUUACUAAGCAACAACUGACGCUGAUGGACGAAAGCGUGGGGAGCGAACAGGAUUAGAUACCCUGGUAGUCCACGCCGUAAACGAUGCUAACUCGUUUUUGGAUU
rnacentral:rRNA from 1 species